GAUAUUUUACUAUAUUGUGAAUAUUGUAUAUAAAAAGCAGUAUGAAAUUUUUAAUUCAUUUUGCUUCAUUGCCAGAGAGUGCAAGCCACUGCCCCUCUUCGCCAGUUAGGGUAAAGGUGCUGGCAUUAAAAAUCUUUACAGAGUCAACGUGACCUGAAACUACUCACAGCGUUAGUUCCUGAGUUCACCUGGGAUCAGCCCUGUCUCUGUUUUCCUGUAUCAUCACUGCCUUUUUAAUCUUGCCCAUAUUUCAGGUGCAAGAAGGUUGGGAUUUAGUGUAAGGCAUUUUUGUUUUAUCUUUGAGUUCAGCUUUGGCAGUGCUCCGAGAUCCAAGGAACAACAUGUGAUUUCUCUCUGCUUCUCAGCCCCUCCUCCAUGGCUGAUUUCUUAGUAAUAUUCAGAUUAGGGAAACUUACUUGGCUAAGUAAUUUGUUCUUUGUUUGGACUCUUCCAGAUGUAAACAUCUCCUGCCAUCUCAGUAUCAUGAAAAACUCAGCUGUUUCUGCCCCCGCAGAGUCUUCGCCGACAGCAGACCUACAUCUCUAUCCACCCAUAUCCAGAGGAACAACCAUCCCUCAGGCAUCUGGAUUUUUUUUAAGAUUUUAUUUAUUUAUUCAUGAGAGACACAGAGAGAGGCAGAGACACAGGCAGAGGGAGAGCAGGCUCCAGGCAGGGAGCCCAAUGUGGGACUCAAUCCCAGGACCCCGGGAUCACGACCUGAGCUGAAGACAGAUGCUCAACCACUGAGCCACCUGGCUGCCCCAACAUCUGGAUUUUCUAAUAUGAAAUUACCUCUCCUUCACUCUUUGUAGUUUCGUUGAGACUGUCAUUCAAGGUAUAUAGACUUCCCCCGCUUAGAGACAAGGGUCAUUCACCCCAGGCCAUCUGCACAUCUGAACUUUGAGUCUUGAGUUAAUAGAAGAAUAAAAACCAAAAACCUUUUGGAGAUGUUACUUGUCAUCAGCAGCAUGUUGAUAAAACUGUCAUUUGCUCCAUCCGCCCAACUUCUCUGAGCUGUAUCUGUUCCUAUCAAGUGAGGCCUGGUUUUCUUCAGUUCUCUCACUGUCCAUGGUGCCAUCCCAUGUCCUUCUAAUAAAUUCCCUUUUAAUUAAAUCACCUAGUUUGUUUGUGUUGUUUACACCAAAGAAAACCAACUCAUACAAAUGUGCUAAGUUAAUGAGAUGCUAGAUGAUUUUAAGAGUAAUUAGCUACUUUAUAAUAUGUCUCU
rnacentral:lncRNA from 1 species